CAUUUCUUGGGCUGCUCCCGAGGCAUAUGGAGGUUCCCAGGCUAGGGGUCGAACGGGAGCCAUAGCUGCCAGCCUAUGCCAGAGCCACAGUGAUGCGGGAUCCAAGCCACAUCUGCAGCCUCCACCACAGCUCACGGCAACGCCGGAUCCUUAACCCACUGAGCAAGGCCAGGGAUCGAACCCGCGACCUCAUGGUUCCCAGUCGGAUUCGUCAACCACUGAGCCACAACGGGAACUCCCAGACUUUUCUAAUUGCUUCUCAGAGUGGAUUCCGAGGGUCCCCCAAGGCACAGCCCAGCUGGCCAGAAGGUGGACAUGAAACUGUGCUCGUUUCUAAGUCCCUAGGGCCCAGCAAUCUGCGAGCAUUAUGGGGAUGGGGCCAGGUGGAGGCAGAGAGGUCGCUGUCCCCUCCGCCUGCCUGCAAGGUUCUGAGUUGCCCAGGAGCCCCAGCGCCCUCCGUGCGUCUGAGGUAAGCAGGCAGCAUCCUGGAAGGCUCUGAGCCCCUUGGCACCUGCACAGACCGGAAUUCUGGCUCCGAGCUCUACUCAGGAUGAACAUCAGUCAGGGCAGGGCGGGCUGGCUCUGCCAAGGCAGCGCACAGCUCAUGAUUUCAGAGGCUUCAAACAAUAAGUUCAUUUCUCACAUACGCUCCAGAAACAACAUGAACCUGGCGUAAGGUGCCAGGGUGCGGAGCUUCCAUGGAGACGUGGUACCGGUCCUGCCCACAUUGGGCUAAGGAUAUCACAGGCCACCCCUAACAUGACAGGGAGGCCACGCCAGCCCGCCUUGUGCCACAAGGCGGAGGGCCGGAAAUAUUUGGUGGAAAGCAAAACGACCACGACGCCAGCCAAGUGACCUCUGAGCCCAUUUCCUCUUCUGCAAAAUGAGGGCAAACAGUAUUUGAUCUCCGAUUGUUGUGAGGAUUCAAAGAGGAAACCCUUGACACAGGGGAGCACCGGGGUGAGUAAAAUAAAACUCAGAUGCCUCCCAGGCGGCCCCCAUCCGUGAUCUGACCCUCCCGCCUCCAAGGGCCCCUCCAUGGAGAGGCCAGCGGUGCCUGGACGCUGUCCCCUCCCAGAUCGGCACUGACCCCUCGGGCAGGCAGACUUCACCCCCGUGUCCUCACUUCCUGUCCCUCAAAGGAUGUCUUGUGACAGAUUCGCCCUCUGUGCUGUCAGAGGGCAGGGGCGCACAGACGGGAUGGAGCGUCUGGGGGAAACGAAGGAAAUACAUCUCCAUCCUGUGAGAGGAGCCUUGAGCUGGUGGCCCAACCCAGGUCACCCCAUUUUGACCUCAUAAUAGCCCUGUGAUGAGCGGGUGUGGCAGUCCUCAUUUUGAGGGGAACGUCGCCAGGGGCAGUUACAUAACUUGCCCCAGGUCCCACAGCGCCAAGUAGCAGAGCUGGAACGAGCCCAGAUCUCUGACCCGGAGACGCCACCCUCCAGCUCCGUCUUCUGUGACUCGGGUUCAUGCAAACCGUAAACUCACAUGUGGCCCCGUCUCGUGUUCAGCCUUGAGGUCCUAGCAUGCUGUGGUGGGAACUGCCCCCUCGGGGACGCCUAGGGCCAGCUCAGCAGUCACUGUGAGACUCUGGACACGUCUUGUCUCCUCUCUGGGCCUCAUUUCUGCACCUGAAAAUGACGCGGUUGAACCAGAGACUCUUGGGCUCCAGGUUUCUGGGAUGUGGCGACUUGCCUGCACCCACAUCCUCGGUGGCCCUAAGCCUGCAUUCUGAGAAAGCGCUGCAGAGCAGGAAGAUGGACAGCGAUCCCGUGCUUGAGGAUAUGUGGUGUAUCAAACCCUUGCUAACAUUAGAAACCAAAAAUAGUUGCUUUUUCUCUAUUUUUUCCUAAAGCCUUGGGGGGGAGUUGUAAUCCGCAGGGCUCUCUCUUCUCUGCUAUUUAUAACAAAUUCUGGUUUCCUCUAAGUCUGUCUCCUGCAGCAGAGGAAGUCAGGCUGAGCCCUCGCUGGGCUGAGGCCCCUGUGUCUGCACCCCGAUAGCCCCUGUCUGGGGUUCUGAGCCCAGGUGCCAGGCAGGGCUGGGGCUGGAAGCCAGGAACCCUGAACUCCCCAUCCCUAGAAGUUGAAGUCAGCGCUCAGAGUUCCCCCCAAUGCCAGUGCCUGGUGCUAAUUCUAAAGGGGAACCACAGGACGGAUUCAAGUUCAGAAACCACCUCUGCAUCAUUUCUAGGGCCUAAGGACAGCUCUUGGGUGUGCGGAUUUGUUACUAUAGGGUUGCUGUGAGAACGAGGGAUCCGGGCUCUUGGAUGGCUGCCCCCAGUUGCUGCUGGAGUAUUUUCAACACAGCAGCGUGGGAGCUUCCCAACUCAGAGAGGGCCCCCCAACUCCGCAGGCUCCCAUCUGCCCAGACGCCCACCGCUCCCUGCCAACAGCUCCUGUCAGCAGAGCAUGCAAGCAUCUGUGUGUGUGUGUGUGGUGUGUGUGUGUGUGUGUGUGUGUGUGUGUGUGUGAGGAAAAAGGAGAAGCAAACAGGAGGCAGAGGGGGUGGAGUGGGAAUGUACAGAGGAGGAAGCUGGGCGCUGCUGAGGCUGGACACAGGCUGACAGGGCAGGCACAUCCUAGUGCCAGCCCCCCCCCCAACCCCCUCGCCACGCUGACUCUCUUAACUAAAUCUGCCCAGGUUGCAGUUUAAGCCUCUUCACUACCAACUCAGAUCCCUGUCUGAUUUCCUCGCCUCCAGCAGCAGCGCCCGAGAGGCAGCUGCCCAGAGGCCCUGACCUCUGGGAGGCUUGAAUUUCCAGCACACGUGCCUCCCAGCUCCUCCUGGUUCGACACCCCUGUGACCUGGAGGGAUGUGGAGGGGGUGGGGGCAGCGCUUCUGGCGCCAUUUCCCAGCAGUGAAUCUAUGAGUCAGAAGGGUCACCUACUCUCAGAAGUCAGAGGGGACUUCCUGGAGGCAGGAAACCAGAGUUGGGCCCUGGAGAAGCCCAGAGUCUUGUGGGCAGGAGGGCAGCUUUGCAAAAUACCGCACGAGCCUCCAAGAGGACUAAGCCUGGAGUCAAAGCCUGUGUCAGCCCAGCUCUGUCCACCAGCCCAGCUCCCGUCCCUGCACAGCUACUGGAAGGGAUCUGGGAAGCCUGGAACCGGAUGCAAAGUUCAAAUCCGGGAUCUGCCGCUUAUAUGCUGGGUGAGACUCAGUUUCCCCAUCAGCAAAAAUUAAAAAGAAUACAGCCUAGCUCACAAGGUCAUGAGCAUGAAAUGAGAACAUCCACGUCGGGCUCCUUGCUGGUUGGAGAAGCUCCUCUCAUAUUAGUCUCCGCCCAUCUCUCACUUUGGUUGGAUGGACUCAACACUCUGCUGGCCUCCUGCCCCGGGAGGGGCAACUGCUGGCCCCAGAGAGCCCGUCCUCCAGAUUCAAAUGCUAGUGAAAGGUGUGGGGUCCCCCCCAGGACCUUCCCUAUCCCCCUGCCCCUCCUCCAUCCUGGGAAACUGCUGGCAGCUGCCGCCUGUUUGCCAGAGGAUGGGGUGGAGGUGGGGAAUGGGUUUGCUCUUGAAAUUACUUUGGUUUGGGGGCUACGGAUGGAGCAGUCAUCUGUGGGGUGGGUGGGGGGAGGGAACGAGAGGAGAGUGGCACCCCAGACACUGCUCAUCCCCUAACCCACAGGCUUUUCAAAAUCUCCGAUGUGGUUUCAUCAGCUGAGGGUGAUGCAAGAGGCCUGGAGCCAGGCUCCCCUUCCUCCCUUCCCCUAGAGAGCUCCUUCCACAUCUGGAGCUGCAGCUGGGUCCUCCUCUUGGGCUCCUUCCAGGGAAGGGAGCUGGCUGAAGUGAGAAAAGGGAGGGCAGCUGGUGAGGGGCCCCGUGAAUGGCCCCAAUGUUGGAGGUGGGGGGCAGGGAGACGGGCGAGCUCAGAGGGAGGAGAGGGGGACUGGAAAGGCACCUCCGACUUUCCAGGGCAGUCUCCUCCAUCACCGGGCCCGGGGCUCCCUUAGUCUUUAAAACCCACUUGAAGGCAGAAGGCAGCAGCCCUCAGUACCCCCCUCCCACUGCCUCCCCCUCAGCCUCUACUCAGGUGCCUGGAGCUGAGUACUCCCUUUGUUUCUGUCCCCCAGGGGCAGCUCAGGCCUCCCACACUUACCCUCUGCCCCAAGGCCACUCAAGCAAAGGGGUAGGGGGAAGGGGGUCAUCUAUGGGUCAAAAAAGUCACUGGAGCCUCGUGGUCUCGCCGAAGGGAGGGAGGGGACAUCGGGGCUAGGAACUUGGCCCCAGAUCAACCUGAGAUGAACUUUAAAGAGCUGCAGGGUGUGGGUGGAGGGAAUUUCAGUGAGACAGUAGCAAGAAACCCCCUCCGUAAAAGUUGGCAAUUCACUGUAAUACAUGCAGAAGGGAGGCUUUCCCGGCGGGCGCCUUCAGAACACAAAACCGCCAGUCGCUGGGAGACGCUCAGCAGAGAAGCCCUAGGCCGGGAGACCGGGUUCUUACCCACGCUUAGCCACUAACUCCUGUGUGACCUUGGUAGUUCCCCUCUCUACGUCCAGGCUUCCGCAUUUAGGAGCGGGGGUCCCACAGAGGCUGCAGGUGUGCAUCCCUGGGGGCCUAGGCUCCAGCGUGGUCAAUUCUCGGCCGGCGUCCUUCCAAGCCCCAACCCUGGCCAUCCAACCAACCCCCCCAACAAGUG
ensembl:lncRNA